rnacentral:lncRNA from 1 species
CUCGUAGUAACUGUCUCCAUCGUGCAAUCAGCAUUUGCUCAUCAAACCUAAAAGGGAACUUUGAUAGCAAAUCCCACUUGAAAGAGAGCAUUUAUAGGGACAUCAUUUGCCAGAAGGACUCACUACUUCUUGCAGCAGCACAUCUUAGGAAAAAAGAAGAUAGCAUCUCAUUGAAAUGAGAACCUGAAUAGGGCCAGAGGAGGAAAAUCAGUGGAGAAUGCAACUCUAAGUCUUCUCAGAAGGGAGGUGAAAAGGGCAACAAUGAAACCAAUUUUGAAAUCAAAUUGCUAUACUGUUUAGAGGUACUGAUAACCUGCUAAUACUUCAGCAAUAAAAAAGCAGAUAAGCACUGCCA